ACCGCCUCAGGGAAGAGGAAGGAGGCCGCGGCUUCGCGUCCCGCCUCUCGCCUGGCUGGCCGUGGGGGGCCUGGACGCAGUGGCCUCCCGAAUCUCCCAGGACCCUAAUGUCGCCCGAGGAUGCUGGGAGGAACACUGAGCCGACCUCUCCGUUAGGCUGAAGAUUGCACAAACCAUGCUAAUGGCCAGCAUGGGUGGAGGGAGCGUGUGAGAUGUGUGGGGCGGCGUGCUGCAUCUCAGCCAACUCCAGGAGCCUGUUGAUGUGAUGGACUACCUUAAUUGAUUUUUGAAUGUUGAGCCAGCCUUAUGCAUGUGGGAUAAACCCCUGUUGAUCAUGGCUGGCUGGAGUGCAGUGGUGCAAUCAUGGCUCACUGCAACCUCAAAUUCCUGGGCUCAAGGGAUCCUCCUGCCUCAGCCUCCCAAGUAGCUAGGACCACAGAUGGAACGAAGUCUGUUUGUGGAAACACCCUUCCCCUCUGUUUACUUGGACCUGAUUUUGAAAGUAGCAAGUCACUUUAUUUGGGCUGGAGGAAAAAGCACUAAACCAGAUGUUGAGGUGACCGGG
rnacentral:lncRNA from 1 species